rnacentral:lncRNA from 1 species
CAAGCAUUGGAUGACUUGAAAUAAAUGAAAGCCCAAAGCCCAAACAACACAAAGAGGGCCGGCCACUUUAAGGUGAAGAGGGUGAGAUAUUUAGUCAAGUUGUUGACUAGGUUUCUUUUGUCUAUAUAAGGAACUUUAUAAGAUAUUGUUCAUUAGGGUUUUUGUGUGGUUAAAAACAACAAAGAGGCAAAAGAAUAUCUCUCUAAAAACUUCACAAAGGCCGGCCACCUUGGGGUGAUUUUACUAACAUAUCUUUCACCCUUUGGUUAUUCCUUCAUCCUUCUCACUACACUAGUGGGUGAGGAUCUUUAGAGGUUUCAUACUUUGGAAACUUGAAGAGAACCUAGGAGCACACAUUCUAUCAAAGUGGAGGAGGCAAGGAGGGAAGCUAGGCUCAAGGAGUUCAAGGAACAAAGGGCUUGGAGGUGGUCCAUCCUUGGUCUCAAGUCUAGAUCAAGAGGUAUAAGACUAAACCUUCACUUUGUUCUUUUUCUCUAAAUUUUAUUUGAUGCAUUAUAUAUAAACCUAUGAACCUUGAAGGGGAUUUGCAUGACUAUAGCUUUGAUAAUUUGUUAUAAAUGCUUCCGCUGCUUUCGUAUAUUAAAUUUGAUUUGUAUAUGCAUGAUAGUCAUUUAGAAAUCCCAUAUGAAAACUCAUAAUUUUCCCUUUAACACAUUCCCAUGGUUCAAACAAAUUUGAAACGGCCUUUCACAUAGCUCAAUUAUCGUAGGCUUAGGUUCAUAAUCACCCUUUAAUUAAUUAACACUUUAACUAAUUAAAUUGAAUGCAACAUUUUCAUUUGGUUUUUGUAUCCAUAAAAUUGAUUUGAAUGGAGCUAAAUGAAAUGAAAAUCCAAUUCUCAUUUAAAGAGACAAAACAAUUUUGUUCUCAACCUAAUUUGGGCCAAAAUGCAAUUACCACAACUUUUGGGCCAUAUUGCAAAAACAUAAACUUUUGGGGUCACUUUGUAAAAACACAAAAGUCCACUACUUCAUGUAAUUACAACUAGAACCCAAAAUUUAAACAAUGCAAAAACUUCAUUAAAGGAGCAAAACAAUUUGUCCUUUAGCGUUUUUGGACCUAAACGUAAAAACGUAAACUUUUGGGCCAAAGUGCAAAUACACAAAAGUAUCAAAACUUUAUGUAAUUGCAUAAAAGCCCCAAAAGUACUCCCUUUGAGGGAGUGGCUGGUUAUAGGAAGCAAAGGGAGUGAUGUGUGUGUUGAUUUGUAGUUUUAGACAUAAAGCAUGCAAGUGGUGCAUGACAUGCAAGUGGUGUGUGUGAAAGGAAAUUAAUCCUUUCACACCCACCAAUAUUUCUUACACCUUUUAAAUAAAUAUCUAAUACAUUUAAAUAUAUGAUAAAUCAUAAAACAAAAACUUUAUGAAAUAAAUCAAAACUUUGAAUCAAAACUUUGAAUCAAAACACCAAACUUUUUGUUCUUGGCAAAAAUGUCAAGAACAAUGAAGAACACUCAUGAAAAACUCAAAAAUUUCCAUGAACAUUUUUCACCCAAAAAACAUCCCAAAACCACUCAAACUUUAGGGAAAUAACAUAUAACCAAACUAGGGUACAUAGAGGUUCCAAAAGUCACUUGAAAACACUUUUAACAAGUCAAACAAGAACCCAAAAAUCCACCCUUUGGAUUUGGCCGAAUUUUCCCAAAAACAUGGCACCAAAUUUUAGCUCCAAUAUUCAUGCUCAUAUGAACUACAUCUACAACAUUUGAGAUGGCAAAUUUUCUAACAAAAUUUACAUUCAAAGAAACAAGAAUAAAGCUUGUAACAUAUUACAACUUUUAAAUCAAAACUAUGAACUACAAAACCCAAAAGGAUUCACCAACUACUAGACCUAGGAUCUGAUACCACUUGAAGGAAUAUUUUGUGAAAACAUGUUCAUUUAAGCAACAUCUAUUAGCAUGCAAUUAACAAUUAAAGGCAGAAUCAUGCUAGCAUGCACUUAAAAACAAAACAUUAACCAAGAAAUUCAAAGCCUAGUAGAUUGGUGAACCAAGACUCAACUCAAAUCAAAGUGAGUUGAGAAAUUUAUACCUUUAUAGAUUCCUCUUUGCAUAAGCAAAGGCUAAUCACCCAAAUAGAGGGUCUUCAUUCCUUGCUUCUUAGAUCCAUGGAUUUAGAUGGAAGAAUAGAUUCUCCAAGUUCCCAAAAUUGAGAACCUCUAAGUUUCCACACCAAGGAUGGAUUGAUGAAGAAAUGAGUGACCUAGAGGAAGCAAGAUUGCUAGUUAAUUUCCUCUAGGGUGGCCGGCCUCUUUAGAGAGAAAAGAGAGCUUUGUGUUCUCAUCUUUUCUCCAAAAGAAAACCCUUAAUGAAUUUAGGCUAUAAAGUCCUUUAUAUAGUCCCUUCAAAUAAGUGACCUAAAGAACCAAAAAGCCAUUCUUCUAACAGGGCCGGCCACAAGGGUUUUAUUGGGCUUUUGGGCCUUUGUGAAUUAAGUUGUCAUACAACUUAAGUCAAUGGACUUGACGUUUGAAGCCCAUUGGGCCUUGAGGCCCAAAACUAACCCGUGGUCUUUUAACGAACUUAUUCGUUUGAUUAAUUAACAUAUUAAUUAAUCCUUGCCAUAAAUAAUUAAACCAUUUAAUUAUUCUUACUCAUCUCUGUUGUUUCUUCAAUCUUUACCUUACACGGUGUACGAUCCAUUAGGUUCCUUUUAGCG